rnacentral:lncRNA from 1 species
GGUGGCUUGCUCGUGUGUAAGCUUAGGAUGAUAUUGUUUCAUGUUGGUGAUGUAUUUUUUUGACUUGCCUACCGACGAGGGGUUGCAUCAGACUUAGAUUGGGGAUGACCUUUACCGUUGACGAUGCUCUCUCUCAACUCACCCCCAGACGAGCAGGAGCAUCGGACUAAAGUCAAAGACGGUCCUUGCUAUCAAUGAUGCUCUCACUUCACUCACCUAUGGGCGAGUAGGGGCAUCGAACUGAAGUCGGAGAUGAUCUUCACGGUCGAUGAUGUUCUCACUUCACUCACCC